rnacentral:rRNA from 1 species
AUUGAACGCUGGCGGCAGGCCUAACACAUGCAAGUCGGACGGUAGCACAGGGGAGCUUGCUCCUCGGGUGACGAGUGGCGGACGGGUGAGUAAUGCCUGGGGAUCUGCCCGAUGGAGGGGGAUAACCACUGGAAACGGUGGCUAAUACCGCAUAACGUCGCAAGACCAAAGAGGGGGACCUUCGGGCCUCUCACUAGCGGAUGAACCCAGAUGGGAUUAGCUAGUAGGCGGGGUAACGGCCCACCUAGGCGACGAUCCCUAGCUGGUCUGAGAGGAUGACCAGCCACACUGGAACUGAGACACGGUCCAGACUCCUACGGGAGGCAGCAGUGGGGAAUAUUGCACAAUGGGCGCAAGCCUGAUGCAGCCAUGCCGCGUGUAUGAAGAAGGCCUUCGGGUUGUAAAGUACUUUCAGCGGGGAGGAAGGCGAUGUGGUUAAUAACCGCGUCGAUUGACGUUACCCGCAGAAGAAGCACCGGCUAACUCCGUGCCAGCCGCCGCGGUAAUAC